UACGUAGGGGGCAAGCGUUGUCCGGAAUCAUUGGGCGUAAAGCGCGUGUAGGCGGCUCGAUAAGUCUGCUGUGAAAGUCCAGGGCUCAACCCUGGAAUGCCGGUGGAAACUGUCGGGCUAGAGUCCGGAAGAGGCGAGUGGAAUUCCUGGUGUAGCGGUGAAAUGCGCAGAUAUCAGGAGGAACACCAAUGGCGAAGGCAGCUCGCUGGGACGUGACUGACGCUGAGACGCGAAAGCGUGGGGAGCAAACAGG
rnacentral:rRNA from 1 species